GCGGUAGUAGCUCAGUUGGAUAGAGCACGAGCCUUCUAAGCUCGGGGUCGGGGGUUCGAAUCCCUCCUACCGCGCCA
rnacentral:tRNA from 1 species